rnacentral:lncRNA from 1 species
ACCUUACUUACCUUACUUCCUCGUUUCUUGUUCGUUAUUCCUACUUGUUAUUCUUAUUCUUAUCCUUAUUCCUAUUCUUCGAUUCUAUUCUAUUCAAUCCUAUUCUGUUCUAUUCUAUUCUAUCCCAUCCUAUCCUGUUCUGUUCUAUCCUAUUGUAUUCCAUUCUAUACAAUUGCAUUCUGUUCUAUUCUAUUCUAUCCUAUUCUGUUCUACUUUAUCCUAUCCUAUCCUAUCCCAUUCUGUUCUAUCCUAUCAUAUUUUAUUCUAUCCUAUUCCAUUCUGCUCUGUUCUAUUCGAUCCUAUUCUAUCUUAUCCUGUUCUGUUUUGUUCUAUUCUAUUCUGUUCUAUUCUAUUGUGCAUGCAGGAGAUCCAGUCUCUGCUCAUCAACUGGAAGGGUCCGGAUCUGACCACAUACGGCGAGCUGGUUCUGGAAGGAACGUUUCACGUCCACCGCGCCAAAAACCGAGAGAACCCUCUUCCUGUUCGAUAAGAUGCUGCUCAUCACCAAGAAACGAGGAGAACAUUACGUCUACAAGACUCACAUCUCGUGUUCCACACUGAUGCUGAUAGAAAGUAGCCAAAGAUUCGCUGCGCUUCAGCGUGACGCAUUACAAGCACCCCAAGCAGCCGCACACGGUUCAGGUGGGUUUGAGAUCACGGCACACAGAUGACCCGUUCAAGCUGUUUACUGUGUUUGCUUUAAUCAUAGUUCAUUGUGUUUCUCAGGCCAGAACGGUGGAAGAGAAGAAACUGUGGGCUCAUCACAUAAAGAGACUCAUUCUGGAGAACCAUCACGCUGUUAUCCCGCAGAAAGUACGUACAGUUACCGAUCCACAGAUGUCUGUCUGAAUCAGUGAUGCUGUAAUAAACGUGAGUCGGAGUUUAGACCAGGGAUUCCUAAAGG